rnacentral:rRNA from 1 species
UGCAGCUCAAGUGGUGGCCACUAUUAUUGGGCCUAAAACGUCCGUAGCCGGUUCUAUAAAUGCCUGGGUAAAUCGUACGGCUUAACCGUACGAAUUCCGGGUAGACUGUUCAACUUGGGACCGGGAGAGGCUAGAGGUACUCCUGGGGUAGAGGUGAAAUUCUGUAAUCCUAGGGGGACCACCAGUGGCGAAGGCGUCUAGCUAGAACGGGUCUGACGGUGAGGGACGAAGCCCUGGGGAGCAAACGG